rnacentral:miRNA from 1 species
AGCGUGGGAUGUCCAUGAAGUCAG